GAUGAACGCUGGCGGCGUGCUUAACACAUGCAUGUCGAACGGGAUCGGCUGGAGCUUGCUCCGGCCGUGAGAGUGGCGAACGGGUGAGUAAUGCGUGACCGACCUGCCCCAUACACCGGAAUAGCUCCUGGAAACGGGUGGUAAUGCCGGAUGCUCCGACAUGACGCAUGUCGUGUUGGGAAAGAUUCAUCGGUAUGGGAUGGGGUCGCGUCCUAUCAGGUAGUCGGCGGGGUAACGGCCCACCGAGCCUACGACGGGUAGCCGGCCUGAGAGGGCGACCGGCCACAUUGGGACUGAGAUACGGCCCAGACUCCUACGGGAGGCAGCAGUGGGGAAUAUUGCACAAUGGGCGCAAGCCUGAUGCAGCGACGCCGCGUGCGGGAUGACGGCCUUCGGGUUGUAAACCGCUUUUGACUGGGAGCAAGC
rnacentral:rRNA from 1 species